AUAUAUUCAAAGAAAAGGCUCUGAAAAAUUUAAAAAUUCAAAAAUAAACAGAGGGGAGGAGCCUAGGCCCUGCUUGUAUAUAGGAGCCUAAAUGGUGUUUAGAAAUAAAAUUUUUGGGUCUGUGAAGAUAGUAUCACAAAAAAAGUUGUACACUAAAACAAAAAGAGUAAACUUAUAAGAGUGUAAGGGAAGAUGAAAGAGUGCUUAAAUUCAAAAAAUGCACUUUAAAGAUGCUUGAUAUAUUCAAAGAAAAGGCUCUGAAAAUUUAAAAAAUUACAAAAUAAACAGAGGGGAGGAGCUUUUAAUUCUAAAAAAUUAAAUUGAGCUCAGAGAAGAAAACAUUUAUUUUACACAAGUCAUGCCUGAAGAAGACACAGAAAGCUGUCGAAACGUCGCGAUAAAAGGCUUGUGUACUUGUAUAUAGUUUAAAAUCUCAUAUUUUAGGCAAAAACAAAUAGUUUAAAGUUAAUGAUGGAUUCUGUUAUUACAAACACACAGCUUUUAUUCAAAGAAAACGCUCUGAAAAAUUUAAAAAUUCAAAAAUAAACAAAUUGGCCUCGGCCUUCGAGGUGGCCUCUUCCUGGGCAGAGAAAAAUUAUGGGGGCAAAGUGAACGCAGUGAACCCUCCCCGGGCAUGGCAGCAUAAAUAAACAGAGGGGAGGAGCCUAGGCCCUAAAUGCCUAGGAGACUAAAUGGUGUUUAGAAAUAAAAUUUACAAAUUAAAUUGAGCUCAGUGAAGAAAAUAUGUAUUUUACACAAGUCAUGCCUGAAGAAGACACAGAAGGUUGUCGAAACGUCGCGAUAAAAGGCUUGUGUACUUGUAUAUAGUUUAAAAUCUUCACAGACCCAAAAAUUAAAAAAAAUUAAAUUGAGCUCAGGGAAGAAAACAUCUCCAUCUGAAAAAAAUAAAAAAAGAUACAACUCAGACACACACACACACACAAAGACACACAUAUAUAUGCACAAACAUUUUGUUGCAGAUAUAGGUAUUUGAAAUAAGUGAUAGGUGACAAUAAACUUAUUGCAAGUCUUCUCUUUUUUAGAGUUUAGAUGUCAUUUUCAGGUUAAACUGUAAUCAUAAUGUGGCAAAAUUGUAAAAACUGAUACAUCUGUAUGAUCAAAAUGGAAAACAUCAAAUCAAUGAGAUUUAAAAUGUUAUAACAGUUAAUUUAUUAAUGUUUUGCCAUGAAUUCAUAAAAACUGUACUAGAUGAAUGAGCCCAUUAGUGGUCUUCCGCUGCCAUCUAGUGGUUAUAAAUUGCAUUUACUCAAACAACACUGUGUUUUUAAACAUAACUGUUAAAGUGUUGUUGUUAUUUUUUUUUGCCCUAUCUCUCUUAAAUUUUGCAUGCUUGUUUAGAAUGAAAUUAUGCAUUACUUUACACAGUUUUGAUAAUUUGUGGGAUUUCUAUUUGUAUUAAUAGGCCUUUGUGCCUCUGGGGUGGUCUCGGCCAACCAGGAUGUAUGGAUGACAUUUAAACACAUCCAAAAGACAGACACACACACACACUGAAAAUAAAUGAUUAAACAAGUUUUUAAGAGUUUAGAUGUCAUUCAGGUUUCACUGUAAUCACAAUGUGGCAAAAUUGUAAAAAAUGAUGUGUAUGUAUGAACAAAAUGGAAAACAUUGAUUCAAUGAGAUGUAAAAUGUUAUAACACUUCUGCAAACAGAGGCUCAGAAACCCCAGGCUGGCGAAAAGAGGUCAACAAACCAUCAGCUGACUUUUACUCAUAUUUAUUAAGAAUUAUUAUUUGUGUUUAAAUGUUCUCUAUAUUAGACACAUACAUAGAGGUCCAAACAUCCCCCACAUUGCUGACAAGGGGACACACUGAGGGCAAGAUAGUAACACAAAAAAAGUGUACACUAAAACAAAAAAGUAAACUUAUAAGAGUGUAAGGGAAGAUGAAAGAGUGCUAAAAUUCAAAAAAUGCACUUUAAAGAUGCUUGAUAUAUUCAAAGAAAAGGCUCUGAAAAUUUUAAAAAUUACAAAAUAAACAGAGGGGAGGAGCUUUUAAUUCUAAAAAAUUAAAUUGAGCUCAGAGAAGAAAACAUUUAUUUUACACAAGUCAUGCCUGAAGAAGACACAGAAAGCUGUCGAAACGUCGCGAUAAAAGGCUUGUGUACUUGUAUAUACACUGUAAAAAAGAAUUUGUUGAAUCAACUAAAAAUAUUUUGUUACCCCGCUGCCUAAAUUUUUUUUGUUAUCUUGACAAAAAAAAUCUUGUUGAAACAACUUCAAAUUAGAGUGGAGUUAGUCCAGGUAACAAAUUUCUUUAAGUUGACUUGACUAUUAUUUUCUAGUCCAGUCAACUAAAUCAUGUUGUGUCAACAGGGAUUUUUUUUUUUUACUUCGAUCAAUAAUCAUAAACAAAUGUUACCCCACUGCCUUAAAUGUUUAAAUAAAGAUGACAAAA